AUAAAUAAGGGCGAGGAGAAGGCGGUGGUCCGCCAUUUCGUGGACGCCGGGUGUGCGAGAGCAUCCGGAACGGUGGGCGGGAGGGAACUGAGAAGACCUAGCCUAGGUUCUGUGGAUUUGGACCUCCGCAUUUCUAACCCAAGAUCUCGAAAUGCAUCGUGAUUCCUGUCCAUUGGACUGUAAAGUUUAUGUAGGUAAUCUUGGAAACAAUGGUAAUAAAACUGAAUUGGAACGAGCUUUUGGCUAUUACGGACCACUCCGAAGUGUGUGGGUUGCUAGAAACCCUCCCGGCUUUGCUUUUGUUGAAUUUGAAGAUCCCCGAGAUGCAGCUGAUGCUGUCCGAGAGCUAGAUGGGAGAACACUGUGUGGCUGCCGAGUAAGAGUGGAACUAUCGAAUGGUGAAAAGAGAAGUCGUAAUCGUGGCCCACCUCCUUCUUGGGGUCGUCGCCCUCGAGAUGAUUAUCGGAGGAGGAGUCCUCCACCUCGACGCAGAGUCACCAUCAUGUCUCUUCUCACCACCCUCUGAGUCUGCAUUAGCCAGUCAACUAGCCCUUUCAGCGUCAUGUGACCAGCGCGCCCCAUUCAGCUUGGCUGGUGUCGUUUCACAUGACCCAGGCAUGGCCAGUCGUCAGGUUGCACCGCCCUUUGGUUCCCGAGCAUGCUGUUUUCUCUCAGCCUUCUCUCCAACCUUAACCAAAUCGGCAGCAGCCACCUCGACCGCCCACACAUUCCUGGCCAAUCAGCUCAGCUGUUUAUUUACCAAAUGUCUUCACAACAACUACAGCAGCAGCCUUCGGCUAACAAAAAAGCAGGAAAAAUCCACAACACCCCCUUCGCCAACCAACUAAAUCCAACGCAACAUCUGGCAAAACCUUUUCAGCAAAUUCUUCCUGGCCGUCAGUCCGGCAGCCUCACCUCACCAUUUCUAGCUUGUUGAAACCCAAAAACUAAUCUCCAAGACGGAGAAGCUUCUCCCGCAGCCGGAGCAGGUCCCUUUCUAGAGAUAGGAGAAGAGAGAGAUCACUGUCGCGGGAGAGAAAUCACAAGCCGUCCCGCUCUUUCUCUAGGUCUCGUAGCCGAUCUAGGUCAAAUGAAAGGAAAUAGAAGACAAGUUUGCAAGAGGAGUGGUGUACAGGAAAUAACUUCAUUUGACAGGAGUAUGUACAGAAAAUUCAAGUUUUGUUUGAGACUUCAUAAGCUUGGUGCAUUUUUAAAAUGUUUUAGCUGUUCACAUUUGUUUGUUGGAACAAUGACACAAAGGUGUAAUUCUCUAUGGUUUGAAAUGGAUCAUAUGGGGCAUGUAAUAUCAAGAAUUGUUACUUUACAAUGUUCCCUUAAGCAAAAUUUAAUUUGCUUUGAAUUUUGGUCUUGCAUAGGCUGAUAAAUAAACCUCUUAACUCCUGCCCAGCUAAAGUCAAUGUUUGUAACAUUAUGGAAAUAAAAACUGGCAAAAAUUGGAAUAUUUUUUUCAACAUAGCUGGGAUAUGGUAUGUAGCUGUAGUUAAGCAGUUUUUAAAAGCUGCUGUGAACUCAGAAACCAGCUGGAAAAAUUAAAGCUUCACCCUUAAACCAGAUUAGAGGUUUAAAAAUCCCACUAGUCUUCACACUGGACAAAAGGUUGUCCAGUUGGUGUAGAAUCUAAGAAGUUUCAAGGAAGUUAGUUUACCUUUGCUUUAGGUUGUAAGUUCCUUCUGUGAUUGCUGUAUAUGAAUACAUAGCUCUUUGUAACGUUCUUUAUUUGGAAAUCUGAGAUACUCAAGAUAACAAAUGUCCUGCCUGUUUAAGGGUACAUUGUAGAGCUGAACUGAGUUACUGUGCAAGAUUCUUUUUUCAUGCUGUCAUUUGUAAUAUGUUUUGUGAGAAUCCUUGGGAUUAAAGUUUUGGUUACAAAUUGUUGUUUAACCUGAAAGCCUGUUUUUCCUUGCAAAACUAAAAUCUGAGCUUGGUACCAAGUCCAGGUGUAACAUUCCUAUUGGAAGCCAUACUUAUAUUUUCUUGUAAAGUGCUUUUGAAAAUAAAAUUUAAGCAUAAUUGUAAUAGUUGAACCCACUAUUACCAUAGUUCUUGUCCCACAGAAGGCAGUUGGUUACACAAAUCUUAUUUUUUAAGAAAUAACGUUCGAGGCUUUUGAAGUGAAGGGACUUUCUGGUUGUCCACCUAAGUGAUACGUUUUUAGGAGCAGAACCCAGUUUAAAGUCCAUGAUUAUUCAGUGACCAACAUUUUAAAGUAUAGCCACCUGAUAUAUUAUAAUCCGAAGUUGCCAGUAAAAAGCUUUUAUCACUAGCAUGAAAAUGUUCCACAGAGCUUUAAAAAUUGCUUCCAUUUUAUAUAAUUUGAGGUGUUGCAUGGGAAUUCUAAAUUGAUCCAUCAUUAUGUGAAAUUCACUACAUGGUUCAAAUGUAACAGUGCAGAAUUGAAAUACGGAGGCAUGCAUAAUCUUCCUCUUAGAUAUCUAGAGGAGUUGUAAUUUCAAACUUCUGUGCAAUUAGAUUAAAUCAUAAUGCAACAGUCUUGUGGCUUAGUUUCCUUAAAUGUGCUAUUUAAAAAUAGUUUUGGAUUGUGCUAUACUGACUUUUCUUUAACAUGAAAGACAAGUCAUUGUGUUAAUCUAUAAGGAUGUUUUAUAAGAAAUUCAUCCUAAACAAGUUUAUUUCCAGUGGUGGUCCUUAAUCUCUCACAAAAGUAUCAAGGGAGAAGAGUCUUGGGUAUCACAGCGGAGAACUGGUGUCAGUGGAGUUCAGUAUGAUCCUUGCUGGCAGAAGACAUUUAUAAAACUGCCUGCUUACUGAGAGCUCAGGCUUUGGGCCCUUCUGGCCUUAAGAACUGUUGGGAUCAAGCAAGGCAAGAUAGCUACUGAUUCGUGGAAGUAAUUCGGUACAUCAAUAUUACACUGCCCUUAUAAUGAACAUGAAUAUUUUUGACAGUAUGCAACUUGCAGAGUCUUAAAUUGGGCUUCUGUAAAAAGGAAAGAUUAUAGCUACAGAGUGGCCAAUACAGACCCAAUAUAAAGUUAACUGAUUUAUCCUUAGGAUCCAAAUUUGCAAUCACUUUAACCAGAAGCCUUAGCACAGUUCUAUGGCUUGUUAAAAAAUAUGGAAGGUAGAAAUUAUUAAAACUUUGCAUUCUACAUUUACAUUGUGGCUUUUAAAAAGUUCUCUGUAGUUAACUGAUUUCUGAAAUUACAAGUCCCAUUGGCCAGUUUUGUCUUGGAUUCUCAGUUGAAUAUUAUACUGAAAGCAGUCACAGAAACUGACUUGUGAUGUAAUGAUAACAGGUGUUCACUAGAGGUCACUGUUAACACUUGGUGAUAACUUAAGGAACACAUCUAAGGAUUAUAGUUUUUAUUUUUGCAGGAAUAGUUAAUUCUAUGGUUCUUAAUUCAUUUGUGGGUUACUUCUGACCUCCAUAUCUUAAGCAGAAAGAGAAGUUUUAAUCUUAUGAGAUAUAGAUACCUUUUACCAACUAUUUCUAUGUUUUUUACAGUUCCUUAAAAGAUAAUGUGAUCAGUAGAUGGCAUCACCACCUUUUUUAGUUAGACUCACCCAUAUUUGGAUGGAAAGUCCUGGUUGCUUUUUAUUGGCGCGUCGUGGUUCAUAUUUCUGCAGUGCUUUAUCAGGAAUGGUAUUUUCCAGGCCUACUGAUUCAUUUUUCCAUCCUGGGUUAUGUAAGAACCACUGGUUUAGUACUUUGUAUUAAUGUGCUUUUGUUUUCAGAAUCCCCAACAUGAUUUAGUUGUCAGACCUGGUUGGUGGCAAUGUCUUCCAGUUGUAUAUUUUUGUACUAGACUGUUGCCUUCUGGUUUUCUUUUCUUUUUUCGAGAACAUGAAAGACUUUAUAAUUAAAGUAGCUGAAGAAAAA